AGUUAUCGUUUAUUUGAUAGUACCUUACUACUUGGAUAACCGUGGUAAUUCUAGAGCUAAUACAUGCAUAAAACCCCAACUUCGGGAGGGGUGUAUUUAUUAGAUAAAAAACCAAUGCCCUUCGGGGCUCUUUGGUGAUUCAUAAUAACUUCUCAGAUCGCAUGGCCCUGCGCCGGCGACGGUUCAUUCAAAUUUCUGCCCUAUCAACUUUCGAUGGUAAGGUAGUGGCUUACCAUGGUUUCAACGGGUAACGGGGAAUUAGGGUUCGAUUCCGGAGAGUGGGCCUGAGAAACGGCCCACACAUCCAAGGAAGGCAGCAGGCGCGCAAAUUACCCAAUUCUAAUACAGAGAGGUAGUGACAAUAAAUACUGAUACAGGGCUCUUUUGGGUCUUGUAAUUGGAAUGAGUACAAUUUAAACCUCUUAACGAGGAACAAUUGGAGGGCAAGUCUGGUGCCAGCAGCCGCGGUAAUUCCAGCUCCAAUAGCGUAUAUUAAAGUUGUUGCAGUUAAAAAGCUCGUAGUUGAACCUUUGGCCUGGCUGGCAGGUCCGCCUCACCGCGUGCACUUGUCCGGCCGGGCCUUUUCUUCUGGAGAACCGCAUGCCCUUUACUGGGUGUGUUGGGGACCAGGACUUUUACUUUGAAAAAAUUAGAGUGUUCAAAGCAGGCCUUUGCUCGAAUACGUUAGCAUGGAAUAAUGAAAUAGGACGUGCGGUCCUAUUUUGUUGGUUUCUAGGACCGCCGUAAUGAUUAAUAGGGACAGUCGGGGGCAUCAGUAUUCAAUUGUCAGAGGUGAAAUUCUUGGAUUUAUUGAAGACUAACUACUGCGAAAGCAUUUGCCAAGGAUGUUUUCAUUAAUCAGUGAACGAAAGUUAGGGGAUCGAAGACGAUCAGAUACCGUCGUAGUCUUAACCAUAAACUAUGCCGACUAGGGAUCGGGCGGUGUUUCUAUUGGACCCGCUCGGCACCUUACGAGAAAUCAA
rnacentral:rRNA from 1 species